rnacentral:rRNA from 1 species
UACAGAGGUCUCGAGCGUUGUUCGGAUUCAUUGGGCGUAAAGGGUGCGUAGGCGGCGGGGUAAGUCGGAUGUGAAAUCCUGGGGCUCAACCCCAGAACUGCAUUCGAUACUGCCUUGCUCGAGUACUGGAGAGGAGACUGGAAUUUACGGUGUAGCAGUGAAAUGCGUAGAUAUCUGGAGGAAUACCGGUGGCGAAGGCGGCAUCCUGGACCGGCAUUGACGCUGAUGAGCGAAAGCUAGGGGAGCAACGGG